ACGUCAUCCAAUACCAGCAGAAUGUCGCCUGGCAAUAACAUUAGUAUAUUUGGCCCAUGGAGUUUGCCGCCAGAUGUUGGCUUGGGCUUUUCGAGUAGGAGUAUCAACAAUUGGCAAAAUUUUAUU